AUGGUGGCCUGGGCAGGAGGACCACAAGCCAGGAGUGAGCUUUGGUGGCCAAGAAGGCCAAUGGUGGCCUGUGCAGGAGGAGGACCACGAGACAGCAGUGUGCUUUGGUGGCCAAGAAGACCAACGGUGGCCUGGGCAGGAGGAGAACUAUGAGCCAACAGUGUACUUUGGUGGCCAAGAAGGUCGAUGGUGGCCAAGGCAAGAGGACCAUGAGACAGCAGUGUGCUUUGGAGGCCAAGAAGGCCAAUGGUGGCCUGGGCAGGAGGACCAUGAGACAGCAGUGUGCUUUGGUGGCCAAGAAGGCCAAUGGUGGCCUGGGAAGGAGGAGGACCAUGAGACAGCAGUGUGCUUUGGUGGCCAAGAAGGCCAAUGGUGGCCUGGGAAGGAGGACCAUGAGCCAACAGUGUGCUUUGGUAGCCAAGAAGGCCAAUGGUGGCCUGGGAAGGAGGACCAUGAGACUGCACUGUGCUUUGGUGGCCAAGAAGGCCAACAGUGGCCUGGGCAGGAGGACCAUGAGACAGCAGUGUGCUUUGGUGGUCAAGAAGGCCAAUGGUGGCCUGGGAAGGAGGACCAUGAGCCAACAGUGUGCUUUGGUAGCCAAGAAGGCCAAUGGUGGCCUGGGAAGGAGGACCAUGAGACUGCACUGUGCUUUGGUAGCCAAGAAGGCCAAUGGUGGCCUGGGCAGGAGGACCAUGAGACAGCAGUGUGCUUUGGUGGCCAAGAAGGCCAAUGGUGGCCUGGGGUGCAUUGGAAGAGGGGUGGGUGGGAGGUCCAGAGAGGUUCUCCUGCCCCUCUGCCCUGCCCUGGGGAGGCCACCUCUGGAUUCCUGUGUCCACAUGGGGGUCCCUCCGUGCUGAGGAGGUGGUGAAGGCAGCAGAGCAUCUCCGUGCUGAGGAAGGGCAGAGGGGAGUGGGGGCUCUUUCGUUUGGAGAGAGGGGGAGACGGAGGGGUGACCCCAUUGGUGCUGACAGAUCCACCUACUCUGCAGGUGGAUCGGAACGGGUGAUCUUCAAGGACCCUUCCAAUCCCUGAUGCGAUUCUGUGCUACAACCCCGUGCCACGUGGAGCCCCCCACGCUGUGUCUCAACGCAGACCCCCAGACCCCAUCCCAGCACCGACCUUUCUGUGCCUCCCUCAGGGAGCUGCUGACGAUCGUCCACCAUUUCUGCGCCUCGCGCUCCUCCUCAAAGCUGAACACCAUGGGCUCGUCCAGGGAGCCGAGGACGAGCAGCUCGUGACACGUGGGGGUCUUCACCGUGUAGGAAAUGUCCUUCAGGUCGUACUCGGCGAUGCUCUGCGGGCAGAGGGACAGAGGGGUCAGGGCAGGAGGAAGGUCCUGGAGGAUGAGAGAGACGUGGAACCAUGGAAUGGUUGGGUUGGAAGGGUCCUUAAAGGUCACACAGCUUUGAGAUUGUGAAGCAGUUGGGUUGGAAGGGUCCUUAAAGAUCACAGAAACAUGCAAUGGUCGGGUUAGAAGGGUCCUUGAAGAACAUAGAAACAUAGAACUAUGGAAUGGUUGGGUUGGAAGGGUCCUUAAAGGUCACACAGCUUUGAGAUUGUGAAGCAGUUGGGUUGGAAGGGUCCUUAAAGAUCACAGAACCAUGGAAUGGUCGGGUUAGAAGGGUCCUUAAAGGUCAUAGAAACAUGGAACCAUGGAAUAUUUGGGUUGGAAGGGUCCUUAAAGGUCAUAGAGACAUGGAACCAUGGAAUGGUUGGGUUGGAAGGGUCCUUAAAGGUCAUAGAGACAUGGAACCAUGGAAUGGUUGGGUUGGAAGGGUCCUUAAAGGUCAUAGAGACAUGGAACCAUGGAAUGGUUGGGUUGGAAGGGUCCUUGAAGGUCAUAGAGACAUGGAACCAUGGAAUGGUUGGGUUGAAAGGGUCCAUCAAGAUCAGAGUGCUUUGGGACCAUGGAAUGGUUGGGUUGGAAGGGUCCUUAAAGAUUACACAACCACAGAAUGGUUGGGUUGGAAAGGUCCUGAAAGACCACAGAGAUGUAGAAUGGUUGGGAUGGGCUGGAAAGGUCCUUCAAGAUCACAAACCCAUGGAAGGGGUGGAACGGAGAGGUCCUUAAAGAUCACAGAGCCACAGAAGCUCCGUUAGUUGAAAACAACAACGGGGUUGGAAGGGAAACGCUCGCUGUCCUGCCAGGACCCAACUCUGCCCGCUUUCCUCACCACAAUUCGGCCUUGGCUCCAAUGGGGCUGCACAGCUGAGGGGGGGGGGGGGAGGCACAAAAAAUCAAUGGGAAAACCCCACAGAACCAUUGGGGUGGCUCCGAUCCGCCCUGCCCCACUCGUUCCCUUUUCGGCCCGAGGGUCACGCGGAGCACUGCCAUCCCCGGCCCUAUUUUGGGAUGGUGAGCCCUCGCUUUGGCAGCAGCCCAUGAGCUCUCAGCACGACGUGCCAGGGCAGUGCUGAGGCCCCACAGAGGGACAGACGGACACGAGGAGCUGCCCCAGUAAUCCCAUCUCGCUGCCUGGGGGGGCUUUGGGGGGCACGCGGGGCAGGAGGGGCCACCCACUGCCUGCUCCCCACUCCCAGGGACCCCCAGACACCACAUUGUGUUUUAUAGGGAUAUAAAGACUGGAGAGUUGAUCUGAGAUCUCCUACCAGGGACCCCAAUGCUAUGGGGAGCCAACGCUGUGGGGAAAUGGAGAGCCAAAGCCAUGGGGGAAUGGGGAGUCAAAGCUAUGGGGGAAUGGGGAGUCAAAGCUAUGGGGGAACGGGGAGUCAAAGCUAUGGGGGAAUGGGGAGAGGAAGCCAUGGGGAAAUGGGGACCUGAGGCCAUGGGGAAAUGGGGACUGAAGCCAGGGGGGAAUGGGGACCGACGCCAGGGGGGAAUGGGGACCGACGCCAGGGGGGAAUGGGAACUGAAGCCAGG
ensembl:lncRNA